rnacentral:rRNA from 1 species
CCCUUAGACGUUCUGGGCCGCACGCGCGCUACACUGACCAGUGCAACAAGCAUCCGUCCUUGGCCGACAGGCCCGGGCAAUCUUUGAACGCUGGUCGUGAUGGGGAUAGACUUUUGCAAUUUUUGGUCUUCAACGAGGAAUUCCUAGUAAACGUAAGUCAUCAACUUGCAUUGAUUACGUCCCUGCCCUUUGUACACACCGCCCGUCGCACCUACCGAUUGAAUGGUCCGGUGAAGCCUCCGGAUUGGCGCGCACCUCGGUGCCGCCGAGAAGUUGGCUAAACCUUACCAUUUAGAGGAAGGUGAANUCGUANCA